GACGUAGGGCGCGAGCGUUUGUCCGGAUUUAUUGGGCGUAAAGAGCUCGUAGGCGGCUUGUCGCGUCGUCUGUGAAAUCCCGCGGCUCAACUGCGGGCUGGCAGUCGAUACGGGCAGGCUGGAGUUCGGUAGGGGAGACUGGAAUUCCUGGUGUAGCGGUGAAAUGCGCAGAUAUCGGGAGGAACACCAGUGGCGAAGGCGGUUGCCUGGAGCUUUGCUGACGCUGAUGCGCGAAAGCGUGGGGAGCGAGUCCGG
rnacentral:rRNA from 1 species